ACGAACGCUGGCGGCGUGCUUAACACAUGCACGUCGAACGGAAAGGCCCUGCUUGCAGGGUACUCGAGUGGCGAACGGGUGAGUAACACGUGGGUGAUCUGCCCUGCACUUCGGGAUAAGCCUGGGAAACUGGGUCUAAUACCGGAUAGGAGCCAUUUUUAUUGUGAUGGUUGGAAAGUUUUUUCGGUGUAGGAUGAGCUCGCGGCCUAUCAGCUUGUUGGUGGGGUAAUGGCCUACCAAGGCGGCGACGGGUAGCCGGCCUGAGAGGGUGGACGGCCACAUUGGGACUGAGAUACGGCCCAGACUCCUACGGGAGGCAGCAGUGGGGAAUAUUGCACAAUGGGCGCAAGCCUGAUGCAGCGACGCCGCGUGGGGGAUGACGGCCUUCGGGUUGUAAACUCCUUUCGCUAGGGACGAAGCUUUUUGUGACGGUACCUAGAUAAGAAGCACCGGCUAACUACGUG
rnacentral:rRNA from 1 species